UGUUUAUUCAUUAUCAUUAUAAAUUCAAGAUGGCCGCCGCUACAAAAUGGCGGAUAAUUUAUGUUUUAUUAAUCCCAUCAAUAUGGGUAUCAAAUGAAAGGGCUCAACAAGCAGAAUACAAUAUACUAUAAAAAAUUGAAAUCCAAGAUGGCGGCCGCUACAAAAUGGCGGAUAACGUAGGUUUUAUCGAUCCCAUCAAUAUGGGUAUCAAAUGAAAGUGCUCAACCAGUAUAAUCAAUGUACUAUAUAAAA
rnacentral:misc_RNA from 1 species